rnacentral:rRNA from 1 species
UGCAGUCGAGCGGAGAUGAGGUGCUUGCACCUUAUCUUAGCGGCGGACGGGUGAGUAAUGCUUAGGAAUCUGCCUAUUAGUGGGGGACAACAUUCCGAAAGGAAUGCUAAUACCGCAUACGCCCUACGGGGGAAAGCAGGGGAUCUUCGGACCUUGCGCUAAUAGAUGAGCCUAAGUCGGAUUAGCUAGUUGGUGGGGUAAAGGCCUACCAAGGCGACGAUCUGUAGCGGGUCUGAGAGGAUGAUCCGCCACACUGGGACUGAGACACGGCCCAGACUCCUACGGGAGGCAGCAGUGGGGAAUAUUGGACAAUGGGCGGAAGCCUGAUCCAGCCAUGCCGCGUGUGUGAAGAAGGCCUUUUGGUUGUAAAGCACUUUAAGCGAGGAGGAGGCUACUUAGAUUAAUACUCUAGGAUAGUGGACGUUACUCGCAGAAUAAGCACCGGCUAACUCUGUGCCAGCAGCCGCGGUAAUACAGAGGGUGCGAGCGUUAAUCGGAUUUACUGGGCGUAAAGCGUGCGUAGGCGGCUGAUUAAGUCGGAUGUGAAAUCCCUGAGCUUAACUUAGGAAUUGCAUUCGAUACUGGUCAGCUAGAGUAUGGGAGAGGAUGGUAGAAUUCCAGGUGUAGCGGUGAAAUGCGUAGAGAUCUGGAGGAAUACCGAUGGCGAAGCAGCCAUCUGGCCUAAUACUGACGCUGAGGUACGAAGCAUGGGGAGCAAAC